AGUGAUGAGAAUAAGCAUAUCGAUAAGCAGAGGAGAAGAUACUUGCUAGGAUUCCCCUAGCAUUGAUGAGCAAAAAGGGUAGUGCCGAACAUGGGAAUCAAGUGGUCGAACUACCCAAAUUGUAGUCUAUAGAAACAUCCUCAGCAGAGGACUUGGCACAUAUCCCUUGGUAGGGGGUUCUAGAGAGGGUGAGAGCCCUGUUGUACCUAGAGCCUGUCGCACUUCAAGACACACUAUCGAUUAGUCGGGUUGUUUGGGAACGAAGCCCUACUCAUGUGCUAAAUUUCGUCCAAGGCUAAAUAUUUGCAAGAGAUAGCUAACGAGCAAGUACCUGAUAG
rnacentral:rRNA from 1 species